rnacentral:rRNA from 1 species
CGCCAGUAGUUAUAUGCUUGUCUCAAAGAUUAAGCCAUGCAUGUCUAAGUAUAAACAAUUUUAUACUGUGAAACUGCGUACAGCUCAUUAUAUCAGCAAUUAUUUAUUUGAUGGUACCUUACUACAUGGAUAACCGUAGUAAUUCUAGAGCUAAUACAUGCGUAAAAUCCCGACUCUCGCGGGGAGGGAUGUAUUUAUUAGAUUAAAAAUCAAUGCGGCCUUCGGGUCGGUUUCAUUGACGAAUCAUAGUAACUGUUCGAAUCGCAUGCUUCACGCUGGCGAUAGUUCAUUCAAAUUUCUGCCCUAUCAGCCUUCGACGGUAGUGUAGAGGACUACCGUGGCAUUAACGGGUGACGGAGAAUUAGGGUUCGAUUCCGGAGAGGGAGCCUUAAAAACGGCUACCACAUCUAAGGAAGGCAGCAGGCACGCAAAUUACCCAAUGACCGAAGGUCGAGGUAGUGACAAAAAAUAACGAUACGGGACUCAUCUGAGGCCCCGUAAUCGGAAUGAGUACACUUUAAAACCGUCCCCGAGGAUCUAUU